UACGUAGGGGGCUAGCGUUGUCCGGAAUCAUUGGGCGUAAAGAGCGUGUAGGCGGUCCGGUAAGUCCGCUGUGAAAGUCGGGGGCUCAACCCUCGAAUGCCGGUGGAUACUGUCGGGCUAGAGUGCGGAAGAGGCGAGUGGAAUUCCUGGUGUAGCGGUGAAAUGCGCAGAUAUCGGGAGGAACACCAAUGGCGAAGGCAGCUCGCUGGGACGUUACUGACGCUGAGAAGCGAAAGCAUGGGGAGCGAACAGG
rnacentral:rRNA from 1 species